rnacentral:rRNA from 1 species
CCUACGGGAGGCAGCAGUGGGGAAUAUUGCACAAUGGGGGAAACCCUGAUGCAGCGACGCCGCGUGAGUGAAGAAGUAUUUCGGUAUGUAAAGCUCUAUCAGCAGGGAAGAAGAAAGACGGUACCUGACUAAGAAGCCCCGGCUAACUACGUGCCAGCAGCCGCGGUAAUACGUAGGGGGCAAGCGUUAUCCGGAGUGACUGGGGGGAAAGGGAGCGUAGACGGCUGUGCAAGUCUGAAGUGAAAGCCCAGGGCUCAACCCUGGGACUGCUUUGGAAACUGUGGAGCUAGAGUGCUGGAGAGGUAAGUGGAAUUCCUAGUGUAGCGGUGACAUGCGGAGAUAUUAGGAGGAACACCAGUGGCGAAGGCGGCUUACUGGACAGUAACUGACGUUGAGGCUCGAAAGCGUGGGGAGCAAACAGGAUUAGAUACCCUAGUAGUC